GAUGAACGCUGGCGGCGUGCCUAAUACAUGCAAGUCGAGCGAACAGACGAGGAGCUUGCUCCUCUGACGUUAGCGGCGGACGGGUGAGUAACACGUGGAUAACCUACCUAUAAGACUGGGAUAACUUCGGGAAACCGGAGCUAAUACCGGAUAAUAUAUUGAACCGCAUGGUUCAAUAGUGAAAGACGGUUUUGCUGUCACUUAUAGAUGGAUCCGCGCCGCAUUAGCUAGUUGGUAAGGUAACGGCUUACCAAGGCGACGAUGCGUAGCCGACCUGAGAGGGUGGACGGCCCAAAGGGAAAGUGAAACAGGGUCCAGCUCCCGACGGGAGGAGGAAGUGGGGAUUCUUCGCGAAGGGGCGAAGGCCGGAGGGAGCACGCCGGGGGGGUGAAGAAGGGUUUUGGGAUCUAAAACCUUUUUUAUGGGGAAAAAAAAAAUGGGAAAGUAAUUAUGCCCGUUUGGAGGGUCCCUAAUAAAAAGCCCCCGCCAACCUCGGGC
rnacentral:rRNA from 1 species